CGACUCUGUGUGCCUUUGUGCUGUUGAGUGCAUCUGAUAGUCAUCAGCUGCUGGCCCCAAGUCUCCUUACUGUGGAGGCAACAGGCUAGCACUCUCCCAAGAGAUCAGAGAUGCAGAGCUUUGAGACAGAGAAGGGGAAGGCAUGGGUCCCAACUCCUCCUCCCCACAAAGAGGAAGGGCAAUUUCUCAGCCAAGCUGUGAGUGGAGGGCACGGACCCCCACCAUCCCUUCCACCUCUCAAGUGCCUCAGAGGAUCAGCAUUCUUCCCUGUACUCACCAAGAGACAGUAUCUACUCAGGGAUUAUCAGCCCAAGAAGAGAUACUGUGCUCCCUGCCCAAGCUGAAGAUACCUGCUUCCGGGAGAGAGACAUACACAUGGAGGCAUUUGCAGUAGAUGUCACAUGACUUGGUUGUUUCUGAGGGAUACAGAGGAAGGAAGACUCAUGAGAAGGAGAAAUGCAGAAAGGAGAAGACUGGCCCUGUGUCAAGCUCUACACCAGGACCAGGAUGCCUGAGGGUCUGUGAUAGCAUUCUGCAUGCUUGAAAUUAUAUGUAAUAAAGUGUUUCAAAUAUGCCGAGAA